CAGGACGAACGCUGGCGGCGUGCCUAACACAUGCAAGUCGAACGGAGUCAAGAAGCUUGCUUUUGACUUAGUGGCGGACGGGUGAGUAACGCGUGAGUAACCUGCCUCUGAGAGGGGAAUAACGUUCUGAAAAGAACGCUAAUACCGCAUAAUGUAUCGAAGCCGCAUGACUUUGAUACCAAAGAUUUUAUCGCUCGGAGAUGGACUCGCGUCCGAUUAGUUAGUUGGUGAGGUAACGGCUCACCAAGACCGCGAUCGGUAGCCGGACUGAGAGGUUGAUCGGCCACAUUGGGACUGAGACACGGCCCAGACUCCUACGGGAGGCAGCAGUGGGGGAUAUUGCGCAAUGGGGGCAACCCUGAACCGCAGCAACGCCGCGUGAAGGAUGAAGGUUUUCGGAUUGUAAACUUCUUUUAUCAGGGACGAAGCUUGACGGUACCUGAUGAAUAAGCUCCGGCUAACUACGUGCCAGCCGCCGC
rnacentral:rRNA from 1 species